GCGGUUGUAGCUCAGUGGUAGAGCACUUGCCUCAAACUCAUGAGGCCCUGAGUUCAAUCCUCAGCACCACA
rfam:Ictidomys tridecemlineatus contig078030, whole genome shotgun sequence.